GGGCCCGUGGCUCAAUGGUAGAGCGUUAGUCUCCAUCGUCAAAGAUCGUGGGUUCGAAUUCCAAUUGGUCCA
rnacentral:tRNA from 1 species